CAACGUGAGCAACCUUCCGAAAUAUGGGGGAUAGCCGGCCUAACGGCCGAGCAAUACCGCAUACGCUCUCGAUGAGGCAUUUCAUUGAGAGGAAACCUCCGGGGUAUUUCGAGGGGCUCGCGGCCUAUCAGCUAGUUGGCGAGGUAACGGCUCACCAAGGCAACGACGGGUAGCUGGUCUGAGAGGAUGGCCAGCCACAUUGGGACUGAGAUACGGCCCAG
rnacentral:rRNA from 1 species